rnacentral:rRNA from 1 species
AUUGAACGCUGGCGGCAGGCCUAACACAUGCAAGUCGAGCGGAUGAAGGGAGCUUGCUCCUGGAUUCAGCGGCGGACGGGUGAGUAAUGCCUAGGAAUCUGCCUGGUAGUGGGGGAUAACGUCCGGAAACGGGCGCUAAUACCGCAUACGUCCUGAGGGAGAAAGUGGGGAUCUUCGGACCUCACGCUAUCAGAUGAGCCUAGGUCGGAUUAGCUAGUUGGUGGGGUAAAGGCCUACCAAGGCGACGAUCCGUAACUGGUCUGAGAGGAUGAUCAGUCACACUGGAACUGAGACACGGUCCAGACUCCUACGGGAGGCAGCAGUGGGGAAUAUUGGACAAUGGGCGAAAGCCUGAUCCAGCCGUGCCGCGUGUGUGAAGAAGGUCUUCGGAUUGUAAAGCACUUUAAGUUGGGAGGAAGGGCAGUAAGUUAAUACCUUGCUGUUUUGACGUUACCAACAGAAUAAGCACCGGCUAACUUCGUG